rnacentral:rRNA from 1 species
AGAGUUUGAUCCUGGCUCAGAUUGAACGCUGGCGGCAUGCCUAACACAUGCAAGUCGAACGGUAACGGGAUAUUUUUNGGAAUAUUGCCGACGAGUGGCGGACGGGUGAGUAACGCGUAGGAAUCUGCCUUGUAGAGGGGGACAACCCGGGGAAACUCGGGCUAAUACCGCAUAAUAAUCGCGAGAUGAAAGGGUGGGACCUUCGGGCCACUCGCUAUAAGAUGAGCCUGCGUUGGAUUAGCUAGUUGGUGGGGUAAAGGCCUACCAAGGCGACGAUCCAUAACUGGUCUGAGAGGAUGACCAGUCACACUGGGACUGAGACACGGCCCAGACUCCUACGGGAGGCAGCAGUGGGGAAUAUUGGACAAUGGGGGCAACCCUGAUCCAGCAAUGCCGCGUGUGUGAAGAAGGCCUGCGGGUUGUAAAGCACUUUUAGCGAUGAGGAAGGAUGUGGUGUUAAUAGCGCCAUAUUUUGACGUUAGUCGCAGAAAAAGCACCGGCUAACUCUGUGCCAGCAGCCGCGGUAAUACAGAGGGUGCAAGCGUUAAUCGGAAUGACUGGGCGUAAAGGGUGCGUAGGUGGCUAUGUAAGUCAGUUGUGAAAUCCCCGGGCUUAACCUGGGAACUGCAAUUGAUACUGCGUAGCUAGAGUUUGGGAGAGGGCAGUGGAAUUUCCGGUGUAGCGGUGAAAUGCGUAGAUAUCGGAAGGAACACCAGUGGCGAAGGCGACUGCCUGGCCUUUAACUGACACUGAGGCACGAAAGCGUGGGUAGCGAACAGGAUUAGAUACCCUGGUAGUCCAA